GGCCUUUAAAGAUUGUAAAUAAAUAUGAAUAACAUAAACAUGUUUUCAUUAGAAAAAAAUGACGUAUGAAUCUCCUUGACUUGUUUAUUGAUUUGAAAUCAAUUAUGAUUACUUUAGGUACACUGUCCGAUUUCCUGACGAAGCGAACUUGUUUACUUCUAUAAAUCAUGAUUCACGGUGUACUGAGUCAGUCCAUAGUUCUGCAUCUGUUAUUGCAUGGCACUGUAAGUGUGUUAAUAGAAUUUAUAGAUCUCACAAUAAUCAUAACGUUUGAUAGGUUAUAUAAUUGGGAAUGAUUGCGUUCAGUUCAUUGAGGGCUAAAUCUUGUCAAUAAGGGCAGAAGUUGAAAAUGUAUAGUACAUAAAAUGAGAGAGAAAUUUGGAAACAGAGUAAAACUAUAAUACAAAAGGAAGGAGAAGAAAAAGAUGCUUUAUUUCCAUCAUAUCUUUAUAUAUACUUUCAAAUGAAUUGGUUGGAGCUGUUUUAAUCAAAGUUAUUUUAAUUUUUGCCGAGUAAUGACCGAAGUCAAUUGACGACAUUAUAUUAAUUUCUUGAUAUAUAAAGUUU
rnacentral:lncRNA from 1 species